GGGCCUCAGUUUCUCCAGCUAGGUGGUAUGCUGGUGCUGGCUGGCCUGGGACUUUUGCGAUCUCCCUAGCAGAACACCAUACUAGAGGUUCCUUCUACUAAAUCCGACCAGCACCUGAACUAAACCGUGGCCUAGGACUGGCAUGCAGGUCAGGCACUGACAAGGAGAUCCAGGAAACUCAUCUGGGAAAUGAUGGAGACCUGGACCAGCAGCAACAGAGAGCAGAGAGGAGUGAAUGGGCCGAUGGUAUCAUAGCAAGCAGAACUUAGGGGCGAUGAGGACAAAUGAAUGCCCUCUCUGUUGUGGGCAAGGACACUGGGCUGGUGAAAGUGCUCAGUAACACAUGGGAACUGCAGUGAAGCCAGAGGAGGACCCAGUAUCACGACAGUGUGAAGAGAGAAGCCCUCUGCCCAGACCGAAAAGAGUACAUCCAGGGGGACGGGAAGCAAACAGAAGAGAAAGCACAGAAGUCAAGAGAAGCAAGUGUGGAUGACAGCAAGGGGGGAGGAGGGGACGGCAGUAUCCAAUCCCUGAUGACGUCUAUUGGAUUUGGUGGCAUGUUGGUCCCUUGGUCCGAGGAGCCUCGAGGGCAGAGAAGGACCUGAGCCAGCCCAGGUGGGGAAACUGAGUCCCAGAAGGAGGCCUGCCUCCCUGCGCUCAUACAUUAGAUCACACUGGGUACUGGGCCUGGCCUUGAAUCUCUCAGUCACGAGGGAUCAAGAAUCCCAUGUGCUGCAGCCUGGAGGAAGGGGUCUUCUGGCAUGAAGACUGAGCAAGGUUAGGUUCACCUGGGGACACAAGAGGCUGACAGCAGGCGGGCUCCUCCGGAGAGGAAAAUGUUCUUGGGGAAAGCUCCUAGGGACCCCUCCCUGGCGCAGCCUUUGGCUCAAGCCGGUUUUCCACCACAAGGAAUUCUCCCAUUUCUAAGGUGCGAGCCACCAGACCCCAAAUCCCGGCCUGGGCGGGGGCAUAGUGGAAGGGGCGUGGUUUGUGGGCGGGGUAGUAUGAGGUGGGGCUUUGCCAUUGCAAGCUCGAAGAGCGGCGGCUCCGGUUACCUCUCCGCGGCCUCCCCGCCCGGCCGGCUUAUUUUUCGUUUCCAAAUUAACAAUUGAAAACGCUGCGGCCUGAAAGGCGAGCAGCGGGCCAAGCGGAAAGUGUGAAGGUGCUGCGGCGUCACCAAGGCCGGGGGUGGAGAGAGUGCAUUCGACACCCCGAAGGGCCACGAUUGCCCACCCACGAAGGCCGACGGCGCGAGGGAGGGGGAGAGGAACGACGGAAUCUUGGCCUGAUGUAGCCUUCCCUGUGCUGCUCUGGCUAGGGUCGCCGGACCCAGUGCUCAGGCUCGGGAUGAUGCCAGCCUCUGCGAGGACGAAAGGGGGAAAGGGGAGAGCGCGCUAGGGCUAGGUUUCCACUCACAGGCUGAGUGCCCAGGCGGACAGCAGGUGCCAGGCAGCACCUCAUAGCACCGUCCUUAAAGGCUCCUAGUGUCAAGGAGUUUUACGUGUGGCCUCAAGCAAGUCACUUCAGCUUGCCAAGACUCGAUUUCCUCAUCUGGAAAAUGGAGAGAAAAUAAGCACCUUCCAAAUAGAUAAAGGAGGCUGGCUCAUAGAGAAACCUUUUAUCGUCGCAGCUAUUACCUGUGUUGUCAGUGAUGUGGUAGUAUUGACUCCUAGGUACCCCUCUUCCUCCCACCAUAGCCAAAGUUACUUAUCACCCUCCUCGGGGCCUUCUUGAUCCCGGUAAGGGGCUCAAAGACUAGGUGAGUGAGAAGACCUGGGCUCCUCCUUCAAAGGGGGCGGUGCCAGGCCUGCACCAUGAAUACCCUUGUUGCCCAGUGUAUGAAGGAUAAUAGAUAAACUCCCUGUUCCCUGUCACCUAGGCACAGGGAGACAGGUGUUAGCCCUCCUGCCCCUGUAGCGCAUAAAGUGCAUUCUGUAUUCUGUGAAUACAGAAGCUUUGUCUUUUUCAUGGUCUCUCUCCAACACCUAGGACAAGCACAGUGCAAUGUAGGUUCCCAAUGAAUAACUAUUGAGUGAGAGAAUGAACAAGCAGGCCAGUCAACCUGGGAAAGUCUCUAGUGGCACCUUUAUAAAGGGAGCAGGGAGAACCCUCCCAUCCAGAAACACAGGGCAAGUGACAUGGCAGGAGGUGGGAGACAUAGGGAGACAGAGAAGAGAGACAACAUUCUCAGGAGGCAGAAUAAAGAUAAUCUGUCUCCUGUUCCCCCACUACCCACUCCUGGUCAGCCUAGGACCCAGCCUGGUUCUUCUAGUUGGGUCUUCACAACUUCCUAGGAGUCAGGCCUGGCCCCACACCCGGUCUACCUGGAACCCAGUGCGAGUGCCCCGUCCCACGUCUGUCAGUCCUACGGCCUCGAUCCACUUCCCACACUGAUUCCUAUGCUGUCUCCCAUGCUUGGCACCCUCCUCCAGUCCCAGGCAUCCCUGUUCAACUUUGGGAAGCAGUACCCCGCCAGUCCCUUAGGAUUCCAAAGUCCUAGCUGGGCACCCUCAGAAACCUUUGUCACUGUCUCCUCUGUCUGGUCUGUGCCGUGUCCCACUGUCCCACUGCCCCACUCCCUCUGUCCCACUCCACUGACACUCAUUUUCUAAAGCAACUCAGACUUGCUCCUUCACGUCCACUAGGCUGGUCCAAGUGGGUGCCAAGGGCUUGAACCCUGGUGACUUGGGACUUUGCCAGCCUUGUGAAGCCUGAGGAGUCUGGAGAAAGUUGUCUUGGGGUUACUUGGAGAAGCCUGGGCAGAGGGAGGGAGGGCCAGUACCCAAACACCUCUGAUGCUGGCAGGACAGGGCAGAGUUCAAAUGGAGACCCACCUAUGGGAAGUCUAAAUAUUUAAAAGUUUAAAUCAAGUUAACAAGCUGUUAAAUAAAAUGUGUUCUGUUCUUCCUGGCA